GACGAACCAUGCAAACGUUAUUCGGAUUCACUGGGCUUAAAGCGUGCGUAGGCGGUCUUGUUAGUCAGGUGUGAAAGCCCUCAGCCUAACUGAGGAAUUGCGCUUGAUACUGCAUGACUAGAGAAUGAUAGAGGUGGGUGGAACUGAUGGUGGAGCGGCGAAAUGCGUUGAUAUCAUCAGGAACACCAGUGGCGAAGGCGACCCACUGGGUCAUUUCUGACGCUGAGGUACGAAAGCUAGGGUAGCGAACGGG
rnacentral:rRNA from 1 species